ensembl:lncRNA
CAGCAGCUCUGUUCGUCCAGAGCUGUCUUGGGAGAGGGGUACAAUUUCUCCCAGGCUGUGGAAAAGCCCAGAAGCAGGUUUGGCCGGGAGGACGACUCCAAAUCUCAGAGCUCAUGGAGGAGGAGGCUGCGUGGGGACGUGCUGCGUGGGGACGUGCUGCGUGGGGACGUCCCGCGUCCGUCAGGGCGGUGAAGAAGUGGAACGUGGCGGUUUCCUCGAGGCGUCGCUACAGUCUCCGUGGGCCUGAGCCAGGUGAACAGUUCCAUAAAAAGACCUGAGGAAAGAUCCAAGUGUCCAAUGCUGGAAGCAUCCUGUCCACCCCACUUCAGAGGCCCUGAAGGGAUUGAACCUGGGACCUUGUGCUUGUGAGGCAGGCGGCGGAACCACUGAGCUAAAUCCCAGCCCUCUUGUUGCCUUUUUAGAAGAUGAAAGGUCAGAUCUGGCACUGUACAACUUCUGGUUCUCCCCCAAAAUCAAAAUGACCAUGAAAGGGAAGCAUUUUGAAUCAAUUCAGGACAUCGAGGCAGCCACAGCAGUUCAACUAAGGACAGUCAUGAAAGAGGACUUCCAGAGCUGCUUCAGAAAGUGUCAAGAAUGGUG